UAGAGUUUGAUCCUGGCUCAGAAUGAACGCUGGCGGCAUGCCUAACACAUGCAAGUCGAACGAAGGCCCGAUUUCGGUUGGGUCCUUAGUGGCGCACGGGUGCGUAACGCGUGGGAAUCUGCCCCUCGGUUCGGAAUAACAGUUAGAAAUGACUGCUAAUACCGGAUGAUGACGUAAGUCCAAAGAUUUAUCGCCGAGGGAUGAGCCCGCGUAGGAUUAGCUAGUUGGUGUGGUAAGAGCGCACCAAGGCGACGAUCCUUAGCUGGUCUGAGAGGAUGAUCAGCCACACUGGGACUGAGACACGGCCCAGACUCCUACGGGAGGCAGCAGUGGGGAAUAUUGGACAAUGGGCGAAAGCCUGAUCCAGCAAUGCCGCGUGAGUGAUGAAGGCCUUAGGGUUGUAAAGCUCUUUUACCC
rnacentral:rRNA from 1 species